GGGACACGUGGUAUCCUGUCUGAAUAUGGGGGGACCAUCCUCCAAGGCUAAAUACUCCUGACUGACCGAUAGUGAACCAGUACCGUGAGGGAAAGGCGAAAAGAACCCCGGCGAGGGGAGUGAAAAAGAACCUGAAACCGUGUACGUACAAGCAGUGGGAGCACGCUUAGGCGUGUGACUGCGUACCUUUUGUAUAAUGGGUCAGCGACUUAUAUUCUGUAGCAAGGUUAACCGAAUAGGGGAGCCGAAGGGAAACCGAGUCUUAACUGGGCGUUAAGUUGCAGGGUAUAGACCCGAAACCCGGUGAUCUAGCCAUGGGCAGGUUGAAGGUUGGGUAACACUAACUGGAGGACCGAACCGACUAAUGUUGAAAAAUUAGCGGAUGACUUGUGGCUGGGGGUGAAAGGCCAAUCAAACCGGGAGAUAGCUGGUUCUCCCCGAAAGCUAUUUAGGUAGCGCCUCGUGAAUUCAUCUCCGGGGGUAGAGCACUGUUUC
rnacentral:rRNA from 1 species